AAAAGCCUAAAUUAGCUUAAAAGACAAAAAGACCCCGUAGAGCCUAAUUUAAUACGACACUUAAGACAACCACGUCCUACCAUGUCAAUAAAAUCCAGAUGGGGCAUCUAAGGACCAGCAAAAUAGUCCUUUCUCCAAUAAAAUACACAUAUUAUGACCCAUUUACAAUGAAAAUAGAACCCGGCUACCUCGGGGAUAACAGACUAAUCUUCCUUAAGAGCCCAAAUUGACAGGAAGGCUUGGCACCUCGAUGUUGGCUUAG
rnacentral:rRNA from 1 species